rnacentral:lncRNA from 1 species
GGUGUGUUCAGUACAUGACAGGUGUAUUCAGUAAGUGACAAGUGUGUUCAGUAGACACCAAGUGUGUUCAGUAAGUGACAGGUGUGUUCAGUAAGUGACAGGUGUGUUCAGUAGACACCAAACGUGUUCAGUAAGUGACAGGUGUGUUCAGUAGACACCAAACGUGUUCAGUAAGUGACAGGUGUGUUCAGUAGACACCAAACGUGUUCAGUAAGUGACAAGUGUGUUCAGUAGACACCAAGUGUGUUCAGUAAGUGACAGGUGUGUUCAGUAAGUGACAGGUGUGUUCAAUAAGUGACAGGUGUGUUCAGUACGCAACAGGUGUGUUCAGUACGUGACAGGUGUGUUCAGUACGUGACAGGUGUGUUCAGUACGUGACAGGUGUGUUCAGUACACGACAGGUGUGUUCAGUACGUGACAGGUGUGUUCAGUACAUGACAGGUGUGUUCAAUAAGUGACAGGUGUGUUCAGUAAGUGACAGGUGUGUUCAGUAAGUGACAGGUGUUUUCAGUACGUGACAGGUGUGUUCAGUAAGUGACAGGUGUGUUCAAUAAGUGACAGGUGUGUUCAGUACGUGCCAGGUGUGUUCAGUACGUGACAGGUGUGUUCAGUACGUGACAGGUGUGUUCAGUACGUGACAGGUGUGUUCAGUACGUGACAGGUGUGUUCAGUAGAUGACAGGUGUGUUCAGUAAGUGACAGGUGUUUUCAGUACGUGACAGGUGUGUUCAGUACGUGCCAGGUGUGUUCAGUAAGUGCCAGGUGUGUUCAGUACGUGCCAGGUGUGUUCAGUAAGUGACAGGUGUGUUCAGUACGUGCCAGGUGUGUUCAGUAAGUGACAGGUGUGUUCAGUACGUGCCAGGUGUGUUCAGUACGUGCCAGCCACACUCGUUGCUGACAGGUGUAUAAAACCGAGCACACCGCCAUGCAAUCUCCAUAGACAAACAUUGUUAGUAGAAUGGCUCGUACUGAAGAGCUCAGUGACUUUCAACGUGGCACCAUCAAAGGAUGUCACCUUUCCAACAAGUCAGUUUGUCAAAUUCCUACCCUGCUAGAGCUGUCCCGGGUCAACUGUAAGUGCUGUUUGUGAAGUGGAAACGUCUAGGAGCAACAACGGCUCAGUCGGGAAGUGGUUG